UAAAAACGAAACUAAUUAAAAUAAGGAAGGGCCUCGUGUAAAACCAAAAGGGAUAAUUGAGGGGUGUUAUCCCCUUUACCCCAUGUUCACGCAGGAUAAGGGAAAAAAGUUGAAAUCCCUAAUCCCCAACUCCAUUUCCUUUCUAGCUCCAUCUCCGGUGGUGGUGACGGUGGCUCGGGGAGCCCCAUUCAUGGCGGCUCGAAGCAUCGGGGGCGGCUCGCAGUGGUUCGCGGUGGUGGUGAGACGGUGAUGGCUUGCUAUUCGGGUUGUGACGGUUCUUGGAUGAGGGGUUUAUUCGUGGUUAGAACCUCCCUUCCCUUUUUCGUUCUGAUGAAGGUAAACUCACCUCCUUCUCCACUUUUCGGUUUGACUUGAUUGGUUUUUGGUUGUUGCUUGGUUUUAUUGAAUAGGUGAAUUGAGGGAGAAUGAAGGCGGUAUGGUGUGGUGGUUCGCGGUGGCUUUCCGACUCGGGGUUUCCUUUCUCACGAUGAUCACCAAAAUGAGGUAUGGAUUUAGUUACCGUCUUCAAUUAAUUACUUCCGAAAGGGUUGGGAUUACCGGGUUCUUAACAACUGGAAAAUGAUUCCUUUAUUGGAGUUACUAGGAAAUUAGGGGUAUGCUCUCCCGUA
rnacentral:lncRNA from 1 species